GGGCCGUGAAGGACGUGUGGAAUGCCUGAGGGCAAAGGGAGCAAGUCGGAUGACAUGCGUGCCGACCUGUGGUGAGGUCGGCG
rnacentral:SRP_RNA from 1 species